UAGUUAAUUGGCAUGUCUAUUUAUACAUCGGGGCCUUUACGUGCGGACUGUUUACUUCCGGUAGUAAGGAGCAGAGAAUCAGAACGCUGGUGCUGCAGUGUGUCGGGUCCUAGGUUUGCGAGGCGACAUUAUAAAUCAAGAGCCUGAACCGAGUCAGCAUUCCGUCUGGGAACGAGGUGUAGGUGGCGAUCACAGCGGGGACAUUUGAGGUGGAUUGUGGACACUGAUACAGACCCUUGGGCUGCAGCUCUGUGUAGCCACUGUUUUUCUCCUAUU